UCUGAGAAAAGUGACGCCGAAGAAAAAGUGUCUGACAUUACAUUUUCAUUUGAGAAUCUCAUAACAUGUUUAAUUCUGCAUGAAUAUAAUAUUUCUCUUUUACUUAUCAGCAUCUUACUGUAAAACAAUGCACAUUUAAAAUUACACCCAUAUGACAUUCAAAUGACACCAUACCACAACUUCAUAAGUACAUGUAAUAAGCCGAUGAAACAGUGUGGGUUUGCACAACAUAGCAACCACCCCUCCCCCUCAGGAAAGAGCUCUACAAGUGCAGCAAACAAGAUAAUGCUUCAAACAUUCAUGCAAUUAGGAAACUAUUCAUAAAUACACACACAGAACACGUGUAACAUCAUCCACCGAUGAUAUUUUCUCACAGACCAACACCGCUGUUAUUUACACUGAUGGACUGUCAUGUUUUUAAAGCCUCACCGUUGGACUAUGUGGAAGCCUGAUGCAAUCUGAUCACAUGUUUAGUAGACUUCCUCUUUAUUUCUUUGUAUGAUUUUGAUGUAUGCUAAAGACCAAGGGCUUUUUCUCUCAUUUCUGAUCAGUCUUUUAUUCGGUUUAAAUGCCCUUAAAAGGAAUUGAUUCGAGUCCAUCUUUGAACGAAACUCGCUGUAGUCCAAUAGGCGUGCAUUCGUGCUUCUUUAAGACAGCGACUGCAGGGCCUCUUCCUGUGGUUUGCACCAUGUGGCCUAAAAAGUGUUAAAAGGCGACAACGUCUUUCUCUUCUCGCUGUUGUUUCCGGGAUCAAGCAGGCAGAGAAACUGGUUUCAGCAAAUAGUUGUAAAAUGAACAUUCGGAGCACAUGGAGAUAAGAGGAAGCAUGCAAAGAAACAAUUGGUGCGAGAAGAGGAGAGGCGGGAACAUCAGAGGUACAGUGCAGUCACUCAUAAAGUAGACAGCACUACUAAAGGUCUCUACACAGUGUAGUGUUUCCUACUUUAUGGAUGAGUGUACUGUUGGCUGCGAUGGACGAGCUUAUGGAGAACCAAAGAUGCUCAAUCUGAACGUCUUGCGAAUUACAUAUUAAUAAAGAUUGUGUUUCAUGACUAAUUGUAAUGCAAUAUUCAAUAUGUGUUGUUGUUGUUGAAUGUAUUUGUCUUUAUAUUUGCAUGUUAACUUGUAUCAAACAACUCUGAAUUCAUAAAAAACGGUAAUAAAACGAAGCUGAAC